rnacentral:misc_RNA from 1 species
GCACCUACCGAUUGAAUGGGUCGGUGAAAAUCUCGGACUGCGGCUUGGAUGCCUUCGGGCAACCAAGCUGUGGAAAGUUGUUUAAACCUCAUCAUUUAGAGGAAGGUGAAGUCGUAACAAGGUUUCCGUAGGUGAACCUGCAGAAGGAUCAAGAUUGGAAGAGAACCAGUCCUAACCCCCGUCACGUUGCCUUUUCUCGUAUGCCGUCCUCUGAUUUAAAAAAAAAAAGAUAUUCAGGUCUGAGUUUUAAUCUUGCACAUUGACAGUAGAUUUGCCU